rnacentral:rRNA from 1 species
AUUGAACGCUGGCGGCAUGCCUUACACAUGCAAGUCGAACGGCAGCAUGAUCUAGCUUGCUAGAUUGAUGGCGAGUGGCGAACGGGUGAGUAAUACAUCGGAACGUGCCCUGUAGUGGGGGAUAACUAGUCGAAAGAUUAGCUAAUACCGCAUACGACCUGAGGGUGAAAGUGGGGGACCGCAAGGCCUCAUGCUAUAGGAGCGGCCGAUGUCUGAUUAGCUAGUUGGUGAGGUAAAGGCUCACCAAGGCGACGAUCAGUAGCUGGUCUGAGAGGACGAUCAGCCACACUGGGACUGAGACACGGCCCAGCCUCCUACGGGAGGCAGCAGUGGGGAAUUUUGGACAAUGGGCGAAAGCCUGAUCCAGCAAUGCCGCGUGUGUGCAGAAGGCCUUCGGGUUGUAAAGCACUUUUGUCCGGAAAGAAAUGGCUCUGGUUAAUACCUGGGGUCGAUGACGGUACCGGAAGAAUAAGGACCGGCUAACUACGUG